UCAAUCUCCUCUCUUUAAAACGUAUAGUUGCACUGCUCCCACCGCAAGAGGGCAGUGCCAUUCAGACUGUAUUUGAAACUCCGAAGUUUGUUUUUGUUUCUUGGUAGAGAAUAAAAACAAAUCAGCAAAAUCCAUCCAUCCAGUUUUGAAAUCAGCCGUUCUAUUCAUGGUCACGGGGAGGAUCCAGAGCCAAAGGACAUAAGACAGAGAAUCGGGCACCAACCCAAACGGGAAGAAUAUGCAAAGUUCACACACAGACAUGAACGCUGGUCCCUGAGGUGUGAGGCGACAGUGCCACUGUACCACCAUGCCAUCCAGGGGUGGGCACCAUCUGAGCUGGAGUGCAGGUUCCGUCCCAUGGAAGGGUGACAUCGUGGAUGUGACUUAUGAACUGUAGCACCGUGGAUGCAGCCUUCAAUCUGCCAUCCUACGCAGGCUGGUGUGGAGUAGACUCAUUGAUGGACUUUGGCUUUGACCUUGACUGCAGUUCACACCUUGCUUUUAGCAAGCAGGCCCACUCUCUUUUUCAAUAAUGUUAGUAUCUACCCAAGGCCAGUUGAACUUUGACCCCCAGAGGUUUUUUCUCUCUCCAUAUUCUUCUUUCUUUCUCUUUCUUUCACUCUCUCUCUCUCUCAUUUUCCCUGUUUUGUAUCAUUCUCUCUUGAUGAUGUUGUACUGUAUUACAGCACUCACAUGUAAAGCGCCUUGAGGCGAUACUGUUGUGAAAGGCGCUAUAUAAAAAUACAUUGAAUUGAAUGUUCCA